AACGAACGCUGGCGGCAGGCCUAAUACAUGCAAGUCGAACGGGCGUAGCAAUACGUCAGUGGCGGACGGGUGAGUAACACGUGGGAACAUGCCUUUCGGUUCGGAAUAACGCAGGGAAACUUGCGCUAAUACCGGAUGACCCGGCGACGGAAAAGAUUUAUCGCCGAAAGAUUGGCCCGCGUAGGAUUAGCUAGUUGGUGAGGUAACGGCCCACCAAGGCGACGAUCCUUAGCUGGUUUGAGAGAACGAUCAGCCACACUGGGACUGAGACACGGCCCAGACUCCUACGGGAGGCAGCAGUGGGGAAUCUUGGACAAUGGGCGCAAGCCUGAUCCAGCCAUGCCGCGUGAGUGAAGAAGGCCUUAGGGUUGUAAAGCUCUUUUACCGGGACGAUAAUGACGGUACCUGGAGAAUAAGCCCCGGCAAAACUUCGUGCCAGCAGCCGCAGUAAU
rnacentral:rRNA from 1 species